GAACACAGGUGUUGAGUAUGGAAGAGUCACUUCAAAAAUCGGAUUCCAUGGAUAUGUGAUCAGUAGUUAAAGGGUUAAAGUCACAUUUGAAAGAAAGGUGACCCUCCUUCUCCUUGCUAAUGUAAUUGGCCAGAGUCCAAGCCAUUGGCCAAGCCAUACAUGAGUGGGGCCACCUGAUUUGAAAAAGGGACCUUAUACACGAACAAAUUGGAUAACCUAGAAGAGAUGUACAAAGACCUAAAAACACACAACCUAUCCAAACGGAAUCAAGAAGAAAUAGAAAGCCGGAACAAACCAGUAACAAAUAAGGUGAUUGAAUCAGCAAUCAGAAACUUCUCGACAAAGAAAAGCCCAGUGCUAUAUGGAUUCACAGUCCCUGGAAACCACCAUUCAACUUUCUUGUCUCCAUGAAUUUGCUACUCUAGAUGCCUCAUCUGUCAUGAAUAUAUGCUGAUCAGAAUUACUCAGAAUCUUCUGUCAUGGUUCCAGAAACGUGGGGAAAAACAAAAGACAACACAGAGAUAAAAUUACAGGUUACCAAGAAUUAUUUUUGGAAAUUUUUCAAAGCCAAGACAAACAACGCAGCCAGAAGAUGAGAACAGCCAACUCGUGAUAACAUUUCUCUUCAGUGGAUCA